GACGAACGCUGGCGGCGUGCUUAACACAUGCAAGUCGAACGAAGUGGCGAACGGGUGAGUAACGCGUAAUCAACCUGCCCUUCAGAGGGGGACAACAGUUGGCAACGACUGCUAAUACCUCAUACUGAAGGAGGGGAUUGAGUCUGAUGCGCUCGUUGGAGGGGUAACGGCCCACUAAGGCGAUGAUCAGUAGCCGGUUUGAGAGGAUGAACGGCAACAGUGGGAAUGAGACACGGCCCAGACUUCUACGGGAGGCAGCAGUGGGGAAUCUUCCGCAAUGGACGAAAGUCUGACGGAGCAAAGCCGCGGGAGUGAUGACGGCCUUCGGGUUGUAAAGCUCUGUUAAUCGGGACGCGGUACCGGAAUAGAAAGCCACGGCUAACUACGUGACAGCAGCCGCGGUAAUUC
rnacentral:rRNA from 1 species